UAGGGAAUCUUCCGCAAUGGGCGAAAGCCUGACGCAGCAACGCCGCGUGAGUGAUGAAGGUCUUCGGAUCGUAAAACUCUGUUAUUAGGGAAGAACAAAUGUGUAAGUAACUAUGCACGUCUUGACGGUACCUAAUCAUAAAGCCACGGCUAACUACGUGCCAGCAGCCGCGGUAAUACGUAGGUGGCAAGCGUUAUCCGGAAUUAUUGGGCGUAAAGCGCGCGCAGGCGGUUUUUUAAGUCUGAUGUGAAAGCCCACGGCUCAACCGGGGAGGGUCAUUGGAAACUGGAAAACUAGAGUGCAGAAGAGGAAAGGGGAAUUCCAUGGGUAGCGGUGAAAUGCGCAGAGAUAUGGAGGAACACAAGUGGCGAAGGCAAAUUUCUGGUCUGUAACUGACGCUGAUGAGCGAAAGCGUGGGGAGCAAACAGG
rnacentral:rRNA from 1 species